CGCUAUACACAGAGCAAUGGACGUAGACCUUUUGGUAUUUCUGCCUUGAUUGUGGGCUUUGAUGAUGAUGGUGGUCCCAGAUUGUAUCAGACAGACCCAUCGGGUACAUAUCAUUCUUGGAAGGCAAAUGUAAUUGGUCGCAAUGCUAAAACUGCGUGAAUUUUUGGAGAAGAAUUACACAGAAGAAGCUAUAGCAACUGACAAAGACGCUAUCAAAUUAGCAAUAAGAGCUUUGCUAGAAGUUGUCCAAUCUGGUGGAAAAAACAUUGAACUUGCAAUAAUAAGGAGAAACCAACCACUGCAG